AUGCCGUUUGAUGUGCAUUUCUUACUGAAAGUGUUUCCUGCUAUAUUAAUUUGUGGAAAGUGGGCAGUUGGGUUGAGCUUGAUAAUCUCUUUCGCCAACAAUCAUUUUCCUCUCAUUAUAUACUUCAAAUGUAUCUCAUCGUUAUUUUUAUGCCCAUGCUGCCUUUGCAGGAUAAGUGUGUAUCAGUUAAGUGCUUUUGCUGUGCAUUUAUUACUGAAAGUGUUUCCUGCUAUAUUAAUUUUAGGAAAGUGGGCAGUUGGGUUGAGCUUCAUGAUCUCUUUCGCCAACAAUCAUUUUCCUCUCAUUUUAAAUGCAUCUCAUUGUUAUUUCUUUGCCUUCGGUAUCUGCACUCUCCCUUUGAUGAAAAUUUAUCUUUUGAGGUCUGGUUGCAGGAUUAGCAGGAUUGGCACUGCACUUUAA
rnacentral:rRNA from 1 species